CAUUUCAAGGGCGAGGACAGUAUCGGCAUUAAAACGAUCCUUUCUCUUCUGUCCCUGUUAAUAGGUGGCACUGCAACUUCUGAACUACAGGUGAAAUGUGUUAUUUUUACAUCUCCUUUUAUUUCGGGUGGUGGGGGGAAUGGAGACACCAGGGCGUUUGCAGAUGUGUGAUUUCACCACUCCUAGCCAAUUUGUUCAGAGACCAUCAGAGGAAGAGACACCAUAGCACCAAAGAGCGGCCCCCUCCUCCAUCACCAUACUGCUCCCAUGUGGUAAGCUGGGGGUUUGAAUCUGAGCCGUGCAGACAAAGCAGGUGCCCAACCAAGGCUCCUGGUCUCCAAAGAUGAAUUACAGGAGGACAAAAGAGGUCACGGUGAUCACUUCCCUGCUCUCUCCACAAGAAGAAAACUGAACCACACAGCAGCCUCCAAAAGUACUUACUCUUGAUAUGAGCAUGCUCAGUGUCUAAUUUAAAUAACUUGGGUGUUUCAGCUCAGCUGUGAUGGCCUACUUCCAAAGAAGCGAAGAGAGCUGCAAACUCAAUCGAAGAUCAUUAGCUGUAAUAAACUUAACAGAACCACCAAGGA